rnacentral:rRNA from 1 species
GAUGAACGCUGGCGGCGUGCCUAAUACAUGCAAGUCGAGCGAACAGACGAGGAGCUUGCUCCUCUGACGUUAGCGGCGGACGGGUGAGUAACACGUGGAUAACCUACCUAUAAGACUGGGAUAACUUCGGGAAACCGGAGCUAAUACCGGAUAAUAUAUUGAACCGCAUGGUUCAAUAGUGAAAGACGGUUUUGCUGUCACUUAUAGAUGGAUCCGCGCCGCAUUAGCUAGUUGGUAAGGUAACGGCUUACCAAGGCAACGAUGCGUAGCCGACCUGAGAGGGUGAUCGGCCACACUGGAACUGAGACACGGUCCAGCACCCUACGGGAGGCAGCAGUAGGGAAUCUUCCGGAAGGGGCGAAAGCCUGACGGAGAAACGCCGCGUGAGUGAUGAAGGUCUUCGGAUCGUAAAACUCUGUUAUUAGGGAAGAACAAAUGUGUAAGUAACUAUGCACGUCUUGACGGUACCUAAUCAGAAAGCCACGGCUAACUACGU